rnacentral:rRNA from 1 species
CCUACGGGAGGCAGCAGUGGGGAAUAUUGCACAAUGGGGGAAACCCUGAUGCAGCGACGCCGCGUGAGCGAUGAAGUAUUUCGGUAUGUAAAGCUCUAUCAGCAGGGAAGACAAUGACGGUACCUGACUAAGAAGCCACGGCUAACUACGUGCCAGCAGCCGCGGUAAUACGUAGGGGGCAAGCGGUAUCCGGAUUUACUGGGUGGAAAGGGAGCGUAGACGGCGAUGCAAGCCAGAUGUGAAAGCCCGGGGCUCAACCCCGGGACUGCAUUUGGAACUGUAUAGCUGGAGUGUCGGAGAGGCAGGCGGAAUUCCUAGUGUAGCGGUGAAAUGCGUAGAUAUUAGGAGGAACACCAGUGGCGAAGGCGGCCUGCUGGACGAUGACUGACGUUGAGGCUCGAAAGCGUGGGGAGCAAACAGGAUUAGAUACCCCAGUAGUC